GCUCGGAUGGCGCAGUGGUCAGCGCACCUGUUUACUAAGCAAGAGACCCGGGUUCGAAUCCCGGCCCGACACA